CCUUAUGCAUGAGAAAAGAAGUGGUUUCUUGACAUAGAAACUACUCCUUGUGAAGAUGCUGUGAA
rnacentral:pre_miRNA from 1 species